rnacentral:sRNA from 1 species
GGCGCGCCCACCCCCCGCGCCGGUAAAAUCAAAACCCAAUCGUGGCAGGCAGCAGCAAAUUAACUGAACUCACCUUCUCUCCCGAGCACCAGAUCCUGAGCGAACAACUUCCCGCAGAAGAGCCUUCUCUAGUGUCCCCCGCCGUCUCACCAGAGUAGGGAUGCUCUUCCGCUUCUCCUUAGUGCUGCCUCCAAACCAAUGCACCAUCACCAACCAAGUCUCCUCUCGGAAGUCUUCCUCCCUGAAGGUGUCUGCGUUUGCUGACUGGUUGUCACCCCCUGCCCCACUUCAGAACGCGUUUGUGAAGAAGACAUUCUAUCUGGAUGAAGCAACUACAGAAGUGCAGAUUGACCGCCUCCCUUCAGUUAUGCAGAAAUCUC